UACAGAGGUGGCAAGCGUUGUUCGGAAUUACUGGGCGUAAAGGGCGCGUAGGCGGCCCGUCAAGUCCCGUGAUGAAAGCCCCCGGCUCAACCGGGGAACGGCGCGGGAAACUAGCAGGCUUGAGUUCGGGAGAGGGAAGCGGAAUUCCGGGUGUAGCGGUGAAAUGCGCAGAUAUCCGGAGGAACACCGGUGGCGAAGGCGGCUUCCUGGACCGACACUGACGCUGAGGCGCGAAAGCUAGGGGAGCAAACGGG
rnacentral:rRNA from 1 species